CAAUAGCGUAUAUUAAAGUUGUUGCAGUUAAAAAGCUCGUAGUUGGAUUUCUGGUGGGAGCGAUCGGUCUGGCGCUUAGCGCGAGUACUUGCAUCGUCUCCGGCCAUCCUUGGGGAGAGUCUGUCUGGCAUUAGGUUGUCGGGCAGAGAAUCCUCAUCGUUUACUGUGAAAAAAUUAGAGUGUUCAAAGCAGGCUUAUGCCGUUGAAUAUAUUAGCAUGGAAUAAUAAGAUAGGACUUUGGUACUAUUUUGUUGGUUUGCGCACCAAAGUAAUGAUUAAUAGGGACAGUUGGGGGUAUUCGUAUUCCGUUGUCAGAGGUGAAAUUCUUGGAUUUACGGAAGACGAACUACUGCGAAAGCAUUUACCAAGGAUGUUUUCAUUAA
rnacentral:rRNA from 1 species